UACGUAGGGUGCGAGCGUUGUCCGGAAUUAUUGGGCGUAAAGGGCUCGUAGGCGGUUUGUCGCGUCGGGAGUGAAAAUCCAGGGCUUAACUCUGGACUGGCUUCCGAUACGGGCAGACUAGAGGUAUGCAGGGGAGAACGGAAUUCCUGGUGUAGCGGUGAAAUGCGCAGAUAUCAGGAGGAACACCGGUGGCGAAGGCGGUUCUCUGGGCAUUAACUGACGCUGAGGAGCGAAAGCAUGGGGAGCGAACAGG
rnacentral:rRNA from 1 species